rnacentral:tRNA from 1 species
GUCAUGUUGGUUCAGUGGUAGAAUUCUUGCCUUCAGUGCGAGAGACGUGGGUUGGAUUCCCAGCCAAUGCA